rnacentral:rRNA from 1 species
AGAGUUUGAUCAUGGCUCAGGACGAACGCUGGCGGCGUGCUUAACACAUGCAAGUCGAACGGAAAGGCCCUUCGGGGUACUCGAGUGGCGAACGGGUGAGUAACACGUGGGUGAUCUGCCCUGCACUUUGGGAUAAGCCUGGGAAACUGGGUCUAAUACCGAAUAUGACCAUGCACUUCCUGGUGUGUGGUGGAAAGCUUUUGCGGUGUGGGAUGGGCCCGCGGCCUAUCAGCUUGUUGGUGGGGUAAUGGCCUACCAAGGCGACGACGGGUAGCCGGCCUGAGAGGGUGACCGGCCGCACUGGGACUGAGAUACGGCCCAGACUCCUACGGGAGGCAGCAGUGGGGAAUAUUGCACAAUGGGCGCAAGCCUGAUGCAGCGACGCCGCGUGAGGGAUGACGGCCUUCGGGUUGUAAACCUCUUUCAGCACAGACGAAGCGCAAGUGACGGUAUGUGCAGAAGAAGGACCGGCCAACUACGUGCCAGCAGCCGCGGUAAUACGUAGGGUCCGAGCGUUGUCCGGAAUUACUGGGCGUAAAGAGCUCGUAGGUGGUUUGUCGCGUUGUACGUGAAAACUCACAGCUUAGCUGUGGGCGUGCGGGCGAUACGGGCAGACUUGAGUACUGCAGGGGAGACUGGAAUUCCUGGUGUAGCGGUGGAAUGCGCAGAUAUCAGGAGGAACACCGGUGGCGAAGGCGGGUCUCUGGGCAGUAACUGACGCCGAGGAGCGAAAGCGUGGGGAGCGAACAGGAUUAGAUACCCCGGUAGUCC